CAUUAUUUAACUAAGGAUAACGUACCAGUUGCAAAGCAAGAACAAGCAGAACAAUAGAGCAAUCAUGGCAAGUAAACACAUCAGGAGUAGACAUAAGUUCAGCAAAAAACUUGAGAGUUAUAGAGAGAGCUCAAACUUGUUCAGAAAGCACAAAGUGAAGAAGAGAGUAGAAUUUUGUGAAAGAACCCAGUAUUCGAGUGUGUAAAAGCAUGUGGUUUUGUGCAGAAAAGUCUGUGAAAGCAUGUGAAGACCAUUAUCUUUUAGUGCAAAAGAGCAGGCCCUUUUAUAGUGUAGAAGGCGAGCAAGAAAAAGGUAAGACAAUGGUUUUGAAUCAAUCACAAGUUGUUUCCCUAUUGUUAAGGGAUUUGAUUCAAACGGGCAAAA
rnacentral:lncRNA from 1 species